rnacentral:rRNA from 1 species
AGUCAUUCUGCCCAUUGAUUUUAAAAGGCUGCAGUAUAUUAACUGUACAAAGGUAGCAUAAUAAAUAGUUUUUUAAUUGAAAACUUGAAUGAAAGAAUUAAUAAAAUAUAAUUUGUCUCUAAAAUUGAAAUUAAAUUAAAAGUAAAAAUGCUUUUAUUUAAUUAUUAGACGAUAAGACCCUAAGAAUUUUAAUUUAUUUAAUAAUUUUAAAUUUUAAUGUAGUUGAAUAAUUUUUGUUGGGAGGAUAAUUAAAUUAAACUUAAAUUAUAAUAAAUAAUUUAAUUAAAUUUGAUGAUUAUUUUUAUAAUUAUAAGAAAUAAUUACCUUAGGGAUAACAGCGUAAUAUUUUUGGAUAGUUCAUAUUGAUAAAAUUGUUUGCGACCUCGAUGUUGAAUUAAAAUAAAAUUUAAAUGAAGAUAUUUAAUUUUUUAGUCUGUUCGACUAUUGAAAUUUUAC